UGGAAAUUAUGUGAUUGACCAAUUCAUGGUCCGCUCCGCUCCACUCUGCCCAGCUCCGCGUCAAUGGAAACGCAUCCUUAUGCGUAUUCUGAC